GGAAGUAAAAGUCGUAACAAGGUUUCCGUAGGUGAACCUGCGGAAGGAUCAUUACUAGUAUGGCGAGCCGAGCGUUAGCGAGGUUUUGCGAUCUAAUUUAUAUUUAAAACCCCACUCUUUAAAUGUAUUAUAUUGUAUUUUUGAUAAAUAAAAAAGAUCACUUUCAACAACGGAUCUCUUGGCUCUCGCAUCGAUGAAGAACGUAGCGAAGUGCGAUAAGUAGUGUGAAUUGCAGAAUUCCGUGAAUCAUCGAAUCUUUGAACGCAAAUUGCACUCUCUGGUAUUCCGGAGAGUAUGCCUGUUUGAGGGUCAAUUAAAUAAAAUCGGGCGUUUUUACUGUCCGGAAUUGGGUCAUCAUAACUUCGGUUAAGUGACCUAAAAUUUUGUAUGAUUUUUACAAACGUAUUUAAAAUAAUUUUUGUACGUUUUUGUAAUAUUCAGUUUUAUUAGAUGUGGUCAUUUUUAUGGUUCGCGUCUAUAAUUUCUCAUCUAUUGACCUCAAAUCAGGUAAGAAUACCCGCUGAACUUAAGCAUAUCAAUAAGCGGAGGA
rnacentral:rRNA from 1 species